GGGUUGUGAGGUUAAGCGACUAAGCGUACACGGUGGAUGCCCUGGCAGUCAGAGGCGAUGAAGGACGUGCUAAUCUGCGAAAAGCGUCGGUAAGGUGAUAUGAACCGUUAUAACCGGCGAUGUCCGAAUGGGGAAACCCAGUGUGAUUCGUCACACUAUCGUUAACUGAAUACAUAGGUUAACGAGGCGAACCGGGGGAACUGAAACAUCUAAGUACCCCGAGGAAAAGAAAUCAACCGAGAUUCCCCCAGUAGCGGCGAGCGAACGGGGAGCAGCCCAGAGUCUGAAUCAGCUUGUGUGUUAGUGGAACGGUCUGGAAAGUCCGACGGUACAGGGUGAUAGUCCCGUACACCAAAAUGCACAGGUUGUGAACUCGAAGAGUAGGGCGGGACACGUGGUAUCCUGUCUGAAUAUGGGGGGACCAUCCUCCAAGGCUAAAUACUCCUGACUGACCGAUAGUGAACCAGUACCGUGAGGGAAAGGCGAAAAGAACCCCGGCGAGGGGAGUGAAAAAGAACCUGAAACCGUGUACGUACAAGCAGUGGGAGCACCUUCGGGUGUGACUGCGUACCUUUUGUAUAAUGGGUCAGCGACUUAUAUUCUGUAGCAAGGUUAACCGUAUAGGGGAGCCGCAGGGAAACCGAGUCUUAACUGGGCGUUAAGUUGCAGGGUAUAGACCCGAAACCCGGUGAUCUAGCCAUGGGCAGGUUGAAGGUUGGGUAACACUAACUGGAGGACCGAACCGACUAAUGUUGAAAAAUUAGCGGAUGACUUGUGGCUGGGGGUGAAAGGCCAAUCAAACCGGGAGAUAGCUGGUUCUCCCCGAAAGCUAUUUAGGUAGCGCCUCGUGAAUUCAUCUUCGGGGGUAGAGCACUGUUUCGGCUAGGGGGUCAUCCCGACUUACCAACCCGAUGCAAACUACGAAUACCGAAGAAUGUUAUCACGGGAGACACACGGCGGGUGCUAACGUCCGUCGUGAAGAGGGAAACAACCCAGACCGCCAGCUAAGGUCCCAAAGUCAUGGUUAAGUGGGAAACGAUGUGGGAAGGCACAGACAGCCAGGAUGUUGGCUUAGAAGCAGCCAUCAUUUAAAGAAAGCGUAAUAGCUCACUGGUCGAGUCGGCCUGCGCGGAAGAUGUAACGGGGCUAAACCAUGCACCGAAGCUGCGGCAGCGACACUAUGUGUUGUUGGGUAGGGGAGCGUUCUGUAAGCCUGCGAAGGUGACCUGUGAGGGUUGCUGGAGGUAUCAGAAGUGCGAAUGCUGACAUAAGUAACGAUAAAGCGGGUGAAAAGCCCGCUCGCCGGAAGACCAAGGGUUCCUGUCCAACGUUAAUCGGGGCAGGGUGAGUCGACCCCUAAGGCGAGGCCGAAAGGCGUAGUCGAUGGGAAACAGGUUAAUAUUCCUGUACUUGGUGUUACUGCGAAGGGGGGACGGAGAAGGCUAUGUUAGCCGGGCGACGGUUGUCCCGGUUUAAGCAUGUAGGCUGGUUAUCCAGGCAAAUCCGGAUAAUCAAGGCUGAGGUGUGAUGACGAGGCACUACGGUGCUGAAGUAACAAAUGCCCUGCUUCCAGGAAAAGCCUCUAAGCAUCAGGUAACAUCAAAUCGUACCCCAAACCGACACAGGUGGUCAGGUAGAGAAUACCAAGGCGCUUGAGAGAACUCGGGUGAAGGAACUAGGCAAAAUGGUGCCGUAACUUCGGGAGAAGGCACGCUGGUGUGUAGGUGAAGUCCCUGCGGAUGGAGCUGAGACCAGUCGAAGAUACCAGCUGGCUGCAACUGUUUAUUAAAAACACAGCACUGUGCAAACACGAAAGUGGACGUAUACGGUGUGACGCCUGCCCGGUGCCGGAAGGUUAAUUGAUGGGGUUAUCCGUAAGGAGAAGCUCUUGAUCGAAGCCCCGGUAAACGGCGGCCGUAACUAUAACGGUCCUAAGGUAGCGAAAUUCCUUGUCGGGUAAGUUCCGACCUGCACGAAUGGCGUAAUGAUGGCCAGGCUGUCUCCACCCGAGACUCAGUGAAAUUGAACUCGCUGUGAAGAUGCAGUGUACCCGCGGCAAGACGGAAAGACCCCGUGAACCUUUACUAUAGCUUGACACUGAACAUUGAGCCUUGAUGUGUAGGAUAGGUGGGAGGCUUUGAAGCGUGGACGCCAGUCUGCGUGGAGCCAACCUUGAAAUACCACCCUUUAAUGUUUGAUGUUCUAACGUUGGCCCCUGACCGGGGUUGCGGACAGUGUCUGGUGGGUAGUUUGACUGGGGCGGUCUCCUCCCAAAGCGUAACGGAGGAGCACGAAGGUUAGCUAAUCCUGGUCGGACAUCAGGAGGUUAGUGCAAUGGCAUAAGCUAGCUUGACUGCGAGCGUGACGGCGCGAGCAGGUGCGAAAGCAGGUCAUAGUGAUCCGGUGGUUCUGAAUGGAAGGGCCAUCGCUCAACGGAUAAAAGGUACUCCGGGGAUAACAGGCUGAUACCGCCCAAGAGUUCAUAUCGACGGCGGUGUUUGGCACCUCGAUGUCGGCUCAUCACAUCCUGGGGCUGAAGUAGGUCCCAAGGGUAUGGCUGUUCGCCAUUUAAAGUGGUACGCGAGCUGGGUUUAGAACGUCGUGAGACAGUUCGGUCCCUAUCUGCCGUGGGCGCUGGAGAAUUGAGGGGGGCUGCUCCUAGUACGAGAGGACCGGAGUGGACGCAUCACUGGUGUUCGGGUUGUCAUGCCAAUGGCACUGCCCGGUAGCUAAAUGCGGAAGAGAUAAGUGCUGAAAGCAUCUAAGCACGAAACUUGCCCCGAGAUGAGUUCUCCCUGAGACUUUAAGUCUCCUGAAGGAACGUUGAAGACGACGACGUUGAUAGGCCGGGUGUGUAAGCGCAGCGAUGCGUUGAGCUAACCGGUACUAAUGAACCGUGAGGCUUAACCUUACAACGCCGAAG
rnacentral:rRNA from 1 species